CCAACAUUCAGCCUCCUCUGCCCAUCAGCCUUGCUGACACAGGGAGUGGAGAUUUGUGUAGAGAAAUGACUCAUUCAAAUAUGACUUAAUCUAAACCGUAAGUGUAUGAUUUAUUAAUGUGCCACCAGGCCUUACACCAAGAGAGCCAUUCCAGAGAAAAGUCCUUUUUCUCCUGAGAACAGUGCCAGCAGCUGGCUUCGUGACAUUCUGGAAGCCCCGUGCAAUGCUGUCAGGAGCAUAGGGAUUUUACUUUAUCUCCCUUGCUUAUGCUCCACAUAACUGAAAUAUCUCACUGGAAGCUGCAGCAGUGCUGGCCCCUUGCACAGCCAUAUGUGACCACUGCAGAACAAUCAGUUGGAGAGACAGUUUGGACUACAUGGAGGGUGGAGAUAAGGACAAAGUGAAGAAUACACAGGAACCAGUGCCUCCUCCUGGAACUAUGCAACUCCAAGCUGCUUCCAUCAGCUGCUAGGUCCAGUAGGGAGGGACCUACUGAGAGCAUUGCCAGAAAACUCAUUUCUCAGUGACACCAUUGUAAUUACUCAUUUGAUUAUCCCGCAAUACACAUAUAAGAGUCUCAGGAAAACAGUACCAUCAGCAUUAUAUGGUAAUAUCUACAAGCACUUUAAUAUUUUCUUAUUGGGGGUACACUUUUUUCCAUAGAGAAUAUUUUACUAGGUAAGAACAAUAAUAUUGAUAUGUUUUAAUUUUUCUUGAAGUGGUUCUUCUGUAUGAGGUUAUAUCACCAAGUAGAUAUACAGUUAUAAUGUUUGAUUAUUACACAUUGCUUUUCUUAAAAUUUAAUUUUGUUUUAAAGCUAUUAAAAUCAGGUUUCUUAAAGAAAGAUCCUCAUUCUAUCUGGAUCAAAAUCACUUUCAGAGCUAAUUAAAAAUGUGGUGUCCUGGACUCACGAAGCCAGAAUUGCUGAGGAGAUAGCCCGAGAAUCUGAAUUUUUAGCAGACAUUUUUUUAGGUACCUUACCCGCAGGAUCAUUUCUGUGAAUAUCCAUGAGGUGAAAAAGUCUGGGAAACACUGUCCUAGGGUGUGGGGAAGAGCGAGAAAAAGAUUUCCGCUCUGGAAGGUAAACAAAUACUCUCUGGAGAGAGAAGAGGAAUGUCCCUAGCAGAUGUCUCCAGAGAAGACAAGACUUUAAAUUCCGCCAGGGAAAUAUACAAUGUCUAACUUCUAAGGCACAUUUGCCAUUCAAUCAUGCUUUAACCCACGUUGCCAGAAAUUUUUGCUCACUAGGUUUUGACUGUACAGGAAUGUGAAAAUAUUCAUGAAGAGUUGUUUUCCAAUGCUAAAGAAUUGAUGUGUUUUAACAGUUGAAUUAAUUGUAUUGAUUAUGAUCACACCUACUUUUUAUAUAUCUUCAUUUCUAACGUUUCUGUACAAUCCUGCCUUUCCACCUGAUAUAGUUAGGCCUUGUGUCAUCAACCAAAUCUCAUCUUGAAUUGUAAUCGCCAUAAUCCCCACGUAUUUAGGGAGAGACCUGGAGGGAGGUGUUUGGAUCAUGGGGGCGGUUUCCCGCAUGCUGUUCUCAUGACCAUGAGAGUAAGUUCUCAAGAGAUCUGAUGGUUUUAUAAGCGUCUGUCAUUUCCACUGCUUGCACUUCUGUGUCCUGCCACCUUGUGAAGAAGGACGUGGUUGCUUCCCCUUCCACCAUGAUUGUGUUUCCUGAGGCCUCCCCAGCCUUGCAGAGCUGUGAGUCAAUUAAACCUCUUUCCUUUAUAAAUUACUCAGUCUCUGUAUUCCUCUGCAGCAGUGUGAGAACAGACUAAUACAUCACCACUUUAUUUACUUUACUCUCUCCCCAUACCGAGGUUUUCUACAUUUUCUUUCUAGGUCUCUACAGUUUCUGCAAAGAUCCUUUAUGGAACUCUUAGGGAAGCUGGGAUGUAUAAUAAAUAAAGGGCUCUUUUCUUUGAGUCCCACACCCAUUUUCUGUGUAUAAAAAUCUUCAACUCCACUUUUGUCUGUUCUAUUUAAAUGUGUGCACAUUUCCUUCUAAUGUUGUAUAUGAAAAAGAGACACCUCUUAGCAGUCUUUCAUAGAGCAAAAUUUUUUACUUUGAUAAAAUCUAAUUUAUCAAUAUUUUUAAAUUUUAUGGAUCAAUCAUGCUUUUGAGGUUGAAUUUAAGAAUGCUUUGCCUAGCCCUAGAUCCCAAGUAUCUUUUAAAAAUUAUUUUUCUAAAUGCAUUAUUUAUGUUUUACACUUAAGUCUAUAAUCCAUUUUGAGUCCAUGUGUAAGAUUUAGGUUAAGGUCAAGAUUUAUCUGUUUUUGUUGUUUUCUCUAUAAAUGUCAAUUGCUCCAGCACUAUUUGUUUAAAAGCCAAUCUUUCCUCCGCUGAGUUCUUCCUAUAAGUUUGUCAAAAGUCAAUUUGGCAUCUUUGUAUAAGUUUAUUUCUGGAUUCUCUAUUCUGUUUUAUUGAUCACUGCAUCUAUCCCUCUUGAUUAGCUAGAUAAUAAAUCCUACAAUAAGGUAGAAUUCUUCCCACUUUAUUCAUAUUCAAAAUAUUUUAAAGCUAUUCUAGUUUCUUUUUAUUUCCAUAUAUAUUUUAGGAUAAUCUUAUCUAUAUUUACAACAUAUGUUGCUAGGAUUUUGAUAGAAUUUGUUUUAAAUUUGUGUAUCAAUGUAGGGAAGACCUGACAUCUUUACUAUUACGUUGAUCUUCCAAUCAAUGAAUAUGGUAUAUCUCUCAGUUUAUAGCUAUUGUCUUUAAUUUAUUUCAUCAUGGUUUUUAGUUUUCAGCAGAGAAGCUUUAUACAUGUUUUGUUAUACAUGUAUAACAAAAGAAGCCUUAUACACUGACAUUUUAUAUUUUGAACAAUUGUAAAUGGUAUUGUUUAAAAAUUUUGUUGUCUAUGAUAGAAAUAAAAUUGAUUUUUGUAGGUUUAUCUUGUAACCUAUGACUUGCUGAGCUCGCUCAUUAGUUUUUUUAUUGUGAUAAAAUAUACAUGAGAUAAAUUUCAUCAUUAUAAUCAUUAAGUUUAGACAUCAAUUGCAUUAAGUACAUAAAUGCCUUAUGCAACCAUCAUCUCUAUCCAUCUCCAGACCCUUUGCAUCACCCUAAAAUGAAACUCUGUGCCCAUUAAACAAUAACUCCCCAUUCUGCCCUCACCCCAGCCCUUGGUAAUUACCAUCCUACCUUUUAUCUCUAUAAAUUUAACCAUCCCAGGUAACUCAUAUAAGUGGAAUCAUGCAGUGUUUGUCCUUUUGUAACUGGUUUAUUUCACUUAGCAUGAUGUCUUCAAGGUUUGCCUAUGUCAUAGCAUGUGUCAGAAUUUCAUCCCUUUUUAAACUUAAAUAAUAUUCCACUGUAGGCAUAUGCCACAUUUUGUUUAUUUGUUCAUCUGUUGAUGGGCAUUUGGGUUGUUUCCACCUUUUGGCUACUGUGAAUAAUGCUGCUGUGAUCAUGGGUAUGCAACUGUCUCCUGGAGUCCCUGCUAUCAAUUCUUGUGGGUAUAUACCCAGAAGUGGAAUUGUUGCAACAUAUAGUAAUUCUAUGUUUAAUUUUUUGAGGACCUGCCAUAAUGUUUUCCACAGUAGCUACAUUGUCUUAUAUUCCCAUUAAGAGUUCCAAUUUCCUCACAUCUUCACCAAUACUUAUUGUUUUCUGUUUUUUUAAAUAAUAGCCAUCAUAAUAAAAGUAACAUGGUAUCUCAUUGUGGUUUUAACUGCAUUUCCCUUUUUACUGGAUUGUUUGUAAUAUUGCUGUAAUUGAGUUGUAGGAGUUUUUAAAUAUGUUCUGAAUAAUUAAUUUCUUAUCAGAUAUGUCAUUUGCAAAUAUUUUCUGCCAUUCUCUGGGUUGUCAUUUCACUCUCUUGAUAGUGUCCUUUGAUGCACAGAAGUUUUGAAAUUUGAUAAAGUUUAAUUUGCGUAUGUAUUUAUUUUGUUGCUUAUGCUUUUGGUGUCAUAUCCAAGAAAUUAUUGCCAAAUUCAGUGUCAUGAAGAUUUUCCCCUGUGUUUUCCUCUAAGAGUAUUAUAGUUUUAACUCUUGCACUUAGAUUGAUCCGCUUUGAGUUAAUUUUAGUAUAUGGGGUAAGACAAGGGCUCAAAUUUGUUCUUUUGUUUGAAGAUUCUAGGUCAUUUGUGAUCUUUAGGAUUUUCUAUGUAGACAUUAAUGUCAUCUUCAAAUAUGAACAGUUUAUUUCUUCCUUUUGUAUAUGUAUGAAUUUACUUUCCUUUUCUUGCCUUAUUGCACUGGCUAGAGUUUUCAGUACUAUGAUGAAUAAAAUCAGUGAGAGCAGACACCCUUGCUUUGUUUCUAAUCUUAGGAGGAAAGCUUUCAGUCUUUCAUCAUUAGGUAUACUGUUAGUUGUAGGCUUAUUAUAGAUGCUCUUUAUCAGGUUGAGGCAGUUUCCUCCUUGGUUAAGACUUUCUAUUUUUCAUUUUCAGUUAUGACCAGGCAUGUUCAUAACUGCUCAUCAAAACUUUGAAUUAGUGGCUGCUUUAACAUCCUUCUCAGACAAUUCUAACAUCUGUUUUGUUGGUGGUGGCAUCUAUCAAUUGUCUUUUUCAUUCUGUUUGAGAUCUUCCUUGCGUUUGGUAUGAUUUUUUUAAAUAUUAUGUCAUGAAACUGCAUCUUAUUUAAAUCUUCUGUUUUAGUUGGCUAUGUCUGACAUCACUUCCCCAGGGGAAGGUGUUGUUACUGCUAGUGGAGGGUGAGAAUUAUGGCUCUCCACUGACAUUGUGGUGGGAUUGGUCCCAUUACCACUGGGCAGGGUUGAAAGUCCUGACUUUCUGCUAGGCCUUCUCUGACUUCAUCGCAGCAGGAGGAAAAGAUGCCUCUGGAGUUGAAGUCAGGUUGCACUGACACUGUGUGUGUAUGGAGGUAGGCUGGGGUGAAAGUGGAGACUCAUUACCACAUGGUGAGUAGUUUCCAGCUCUCUAUUUGGCCUUCUCUGAUACCACCCAGACAGGGACAUUGGGGAUACCUCAUUACAGCCUAGUGAGGGUCAAACUCUAGGCUCCCCACUCAGUCUUUGCUAUCAUGGACACUGUAGGACCAUAGUUUUUUCUGUGCUGUUUGCUUGAUGUGUCUUCCUUGGACCCUGAGUUCCAUAGCUGGUCUGCAUUCCUCUCUCCACCUUUAAGACGUCUUCUUAUGUUUAUUUCAUAUUUAACAUCCAGGGUGGUAAUUAGAGGGAAGAAUAGAGGGAAAAGUACAGUUGCACUUUGUUGUUCAAAGAGCAGUUUUGAACUGCACAGACCCAUUUCUCUGAGCACACCCAGGGAUGAUUGUACUUGUAUAAAAUUUUUUUCCUGGAUGCAGAAUUCUCAAUUGACUGUGAAAGUUCAUAACAAAGAAAACAGUGGGGAAGACAAAUCUGGAAAUGAGGAAAAUAAAAAUUAAAUAGUGAGACCACCCAUGGAGCUUGUGGCAAAGCCUGAAUUGAAUCCGCUGUAUCUUAAGAUUGUGCCUCAUUCUAAAUUUAAGUCACCCUUCUCAUUAUGAAAGUGUCACAACUUCUCAGUAGGUGAGGAGACAGUCUAAAUUUGAGAAAAGAAAGUUACAACAAAGGUUUUGAGCAAGCUGCUAAGUGGAUUUAUUCAUGUUUGAGAAAUCAAAUAUAUGGUUAAUGAGCUCUUUAACUAGAAGCCAACACUAGGGAGGAGUAGACAGAAGUCACGGGGAGGGAGCCCCCGGACAUUUCAAAAGACUUUGCCCUGCAACAUCUCCUCCACAUUUAAGCUUUUAGGUUAUUGUAGCCACAUCACAAGCAUGUUACCUACCCAGAUAUUGUCUGCGCAUCAUUCCCAAAAGCUUCCCUGGGUCUUCAUAAUAUUAAUGAGAUUCUCCCCCAGGUUAGACCCCUUUGGCUUGAGUCAGAAACAGAAUUAAUCCGGGGGACAAUCCAGCAGCACCCAUCUCUGGGUUGCAGAAAUAUCUGAGGUGACCAGGCAGUGUUUGGAGUCCCCUCAGUUAGCUAACAAAGUGAGUUCACAGCUUCCAAGACCCCAGGCUUUCCAGGCUAAUAAAGAGCUGAGGUUAUAGGCUCUCCUUAUCAAACGCUCUUUGGCAGCUGCCAUAACCAUUCCAAGUCUAGUCCUAGAAUAGAAAUGACGCGGUUUCAGGAGCUGACAGAUGGAACUUUAAGCCUUCCUUCCUGCCACAUCUGAAGUUCUUUUUUAAAAAAAUAGAAAACCAUGACAAUAAACACUCCUUGAAUGCCCUGUGGAAAAGUGUACUCCUCAGAAUUCACUAAAGUGGGGUGAAGCAGUGGGUUGUGGUGCUGAGAAAACAUCUCUUCCCCUCGGCAGUAUAUUGGAAUCUCAUAGAAACUUCUGUGGCUGGGAAGCAAACAUGCUCUCUGCCCCAUUGCUCUUAUUCAUCUUUAGACCUGAUAAUACAGUUUGAACUUCAAGUUGCACUUUAAAUGGCAUGCAUUUUUA
rnacentral:lncRNA from 1 species